GACGUAGGGCGCGAGCGUUGUCCGGAUUUAUUGGGCGUAAAGAGCUCGUAGGCGGUGUGUCGCGUCGGCCGUGAAAACCUGCAGCUUAACUGUGGGCUUGCGGUCGAUACGGGCAUCACUGGAGUUCGGCAGGGGAGACUGGAAUUCCAGGUGUAGCGGUGAAAUGCGUAGAUAUCUGGAGGAACACCGGUGGCGAAGGCGGCGUUCUGGACUGCAACUGACACUGAAAAACGAAAGCCAGGGGAGCAAACGGG
rnacentral:rRNA from 1 species